GAGUUUGAUCUUGGCUCAGGACAAACGCUGGCGGCGUGCCUAACACAUGCAAGUCGAACGGAGCACCCCUGAAGGAGUUUUCGGACAACGGAAGGGAAUGCUUAGUGGCGGACGGGUGAGUAACGCGUGAGCAAUCUGCCUUUCAGUGGGGGACAACAGUUGGAAACGACUGCUAAUACCGCAUAAUGCAUUCGGAAGACAUCUUCUGAAUGCCAAAGAUUUAUCGCUGAAAGAUGAGCUCGCGUCUGAUUAGAUAGUUGGUGAGGUAACGGCCCACCAAGUCUACGAUCAGUAGCCGGACAGAGAGGUUGAACGGCCACAUUGGGACUGAGAUACGGCCCAGACUCCUACGGGAGGCAGCAGUGGGGAAUAUUGGGCAAUGGGCGAAAGCCUGACCCAGCAACGCCGCGUGAAGGAAGACGGUUUUAGGAUUGUAAACUUCUUUAUCAGGGACGAUGAAUGAGACGGUACCUGAUGAAUAAGCCACGGCUAACUACGUGCCAGCCGCCGCAGU
rnacentral:rRNA from 1 species